UACGUAGGGCGCAAGCGUUGUCCGGAAUUAUUGGGCGUAAAGAGCUCGUAGGCGGCCUGUUACGUCUGCUGUGAAAUCCCGGGGCUUAACCCCGGGCGUGCAGUGGAUACGGGCAGGCUGGAGGCAGGCAGGGGAGAACGGAAUUCCCGGUGUAGCGGUGAAAUGCGCAGAUAUCGGGAGGAACACCGGUGGCGAAGGCGGCUCACUGGCCCGGUACUGACGCUGAGGUGCGAAAGCGUGGGGAGCAAACAGG
rnacentral:rRNA from 1 species